GAGGGUGUAGCUCAGUGGUAGAGUGCAUGCCUCACGUGCACAAGGUCCUGGGUUCAAUCCCUAGUACCUCCA
rnacentral:tRNA from 1 species